rnacentral:rRNA from 1 species
AUCCGGAGGGUGCAAGCGUUAAUCGGAAUUACUGGGCGUAAAGCGUACGUAGGCGGUUAUUUAAGUCAGAUGUGAAAGCCCCGGGCUUAACUUGGGAACUGCAUUUGAAACUGGGUAACUAGAGUUUAGUAGAGGGGAGUGGAAUUUCAGGUGUAGCGGUGAAAUGCGUAGAGAUCUGAAGGAACACCAGUGGCGAAGGCGACUCCCUGGACUAAAACUGACGCUGAGGUACGAAAGCGUGGGUAGCAAACAGGAUUAGAAACCCGAGUAGUCC